CACGGAGAAAUUGCGAGGGAAGUCCUUCCAUUGAACAGCAUUGUUGCAUUGCUUGUUGGUAAGAUCCCACGGCGGUGUGUGGCGAUGUGUUGUUCGCAAUCGACAGAAAAGUUGUGCCAGUGGCCGAAGGAUAGCAGGGCACUUAUAUGGACAUCUUUUAUUCGCACGAAGCAAAUAAAUUUCACGCCAUCAUCGACGAGUGUUCUCUGCCAUCUCCACUUCAAAGAUGACUGCUUUCUCAACCGGUCUGCUUAUGAUCAAGGAUUUGCAAAAAAAGUAACGAGACUGGGGGAAGCUAUGGAAUGGAACUGGAGGGCCUGAAAAGAUGCCGUUCGGAGUUGGAAGGCUUCAAUGCAAAAGUUGUCACUGACAGGCAUCGCCAGCGCCAGGUGGGGAAAAGGAUAAGGGAGGAUUGGACCCAAGUCAUCCAUUAUUAUGAUUGUUGGCGCAUUGCUCAAGGUAUGUGCAAGAAACUGGACUCCUUGGCCAAAAAGAAGAGCAUGUCGAUCCUGAAGGAUUGGGAACAAAGUUUGAAGUGCCAUUUGUACUGGUGUGUAGUUUCCUCCCAAACACCGGAGGAAAAGAAGCAGAAGUGGCUGGCAUGUGUGGACCACCAGCAGAACGUGCACGAUAGUUGUUUACAUCCUCCAAUUACUAGAGAAAAAGCGUGGCUAUUACCAAGUUUUUUUUGGUUAGAUGUUGCCUGCUAGUUAACCCUAAAAAAUUGAAAUAUUGUCAU